AGUGAACGCUGGCGGUAGGCCUAACACAUGCAAGUCGAACGGCAGCACAGUACGAUCUUGCUCUUACGGGUGGCGAGUGGCUGACGGGUGAGGAAUACAUCGGAAUCUACUUUUUCGUGGGGGGUAACAUAGGGAAACUUACGCUAAUACCGCAUACGACCUUCUGGUGAAAGCAGGGGAUCUUCGGACCUUGCUCGUAUUAAUUAGCCGCUGUCGGAUCAGCUGGUUGGCUGGGUAAAGGCCCACCAAGGCGACGAUCCGUAGCUGGUCUGAGAGGAUGACGAGCCACACUGGAACUGGGAAACGGUCCAGACCCCUACGGGAGGAAGAAGAGGGGAAUAUUGGAAAAUGGGGGAAAGCCGGCUCAAGAAAGACGGCGUGGGGAAAGAGGGCCUUGGGGUGGAAAAGCCCUUUGGUUGGGAAAGAAAAGCAGCAGGUUAAUACCCCGCUGUUGUGACGGUACCCAAAGAAUAAGCACCGGCUAACUUCGUG
rnacentral:rRNA from 1 species